GCGCGAGUGGCGAAACUGGUAUCCGCGUCAGACUUAGGAUCUGGUGUCCGAAAGGGCUUGGGGGUUCGAGUCCCCCCUCGCGCA
rnacentral:tRNA from 1 species